UUGAGCUCAAAUCUUUUGGUGAGCUUUUGUUGAUUUCUUUUGGAAUUUAUUUUCUUUUCUCAACCGUAGCAAAUGAUUGAAGAGAUUGAUAAAUCUAUUGUCAAACCUUCGCCUUGAGAGUAUAUGCUGGAUUGAAGAAAAAGAAGCCUGUUGAAAUUUCAAGCUCAUUGAAUUAAAAAAGUCUGGAUGCUGAGGAAGAUUUGGAUUGCAUUUUUAGAUUAUUUUCUUUGCAUAUUAUUUAUUUUUUCUAGCUGAAAAUAUGUUUUUCCUGUCUGAAGCUUACAGAAAAUACAUUAGGAGGAAGAUGCAGAGGGAAUAGAAUCAAUAGAUUUGCAGGUCGGCAACGUUACCCUGGGAGGGGAGUGAUAUAAAUUACAUAUAUGACGAGCUUCUUGGUAGAGUUUUUAUCAUUCUCCGUGAAAAUAAUCCAAAGCUUUCUGGAGAGAGGCGUCAUAUAGUUAGGAAGCCUCCUCAAAAGAAAAACAGUGUUUGUCAACUUUAUGGAUCUUUGCAAGACAUUCUCACGCUUUAACAUGGC